UGAGAUGAGGCUGUGUUCCACAGGU
rnacentral:miRNA from 1 species